CAAGGAAAAUUCUCUACUACCGCAUGGAAGAUCGGGACGAGAUUUCGAUGCGGGAUUUCCUUCAUCACCGGUCAUGAUAAAUCGCCAGUGGAACGCAGGACUCAACAAACGAUAUUCAUUGCCGGCGAAAGAGCUCAACCGAGCGUGGAUGAAUAUCAAUGAGACACGGAGUGUCAAAUAACGAUUAUUAACAAGGCAAAAAAAGAGAAGAAGGAAGAAAAACGAGAAGAUAGCACGAGAGGAGGGGGAGAGAGGAGCGAAAGCCGCGUGGAAGUGCAAGAAGAAACGUAGUGCGGUAACUCAAACCAGUGUGUGUACCACCCCCUGGCCCGGGGGGUGGCACAGAAACGCCGUCAGCGUGGGUGCCGGUGCCGCAGGGGCGCGCCUGGCCCGUCGGCUCGCCCGCAGAUUAGCACGCCGAUUAGCGGCUACCUCGGGCCCCUUUCGGCGUACCGGCCUGGCGACCUCGGGGGGCCUCACGUCGGCGGCGGUGGCCGUGGCGAUUCAGCAGGGGGAGCCGCAUGCUCCCCCGGCUGCUGCGUCACGCCGCGCCACGCCGAACGGAAGCGCCAGCGGCUCGGGUUGUACCACGACUACGACCGUCACCACGAGUCGUAGCAAGAACAAAACCAUGUCCGUGAGAAGCCUACACCGACGUGUCUCUCACCCGAAUUGGACUAUUGUCGGGACUGCCGGGCGAUCACCAUCGCAGAUCUGUGAACAAUAGGUUGCCACGGAAUUGAAAAUCGACAUGCUGCGAAACACGAAAAGCGCCCAUCGCAGAAGCUCGAAACGUCCUGGCCGUUUUCCUUUAUCUCUCACACGCGAUAUUAAUCGACUGAAACCGAUGCUUCCUGACAUCUUUCGACGUGGGAUCAUAAAUAUUAUAAAAUCGUGGAAUUGAGAACUGUUAAUAUGUCAAUUAUCGUCAGA